rnacentral:rRNA from 1 species
GAAUGCAUCGGGAAUCUACUCUGUCGUGGGGGAUAACGUAGGGAAACUUACGCUAAUACCGCAUACGACCUACGGGUGAAAGCAGGGGAUCUUCGGACCUUGCGCGAUUGAAUGAGCCGAUGCCCGAUUAGCUAGUUGGCGGGGUAAGAGCCCACCAAGGCGACGAUCGGUAGCUGGUCUGAGAGGAUGAUCAGCCACACUGGAACUGAGACACGGUCCAGACUCCUACGGGAGGCAGCAGUGGGGAAUAUUGGACAAUGGGCGCAAGCCUGAUCCAGCCAUACCGCGUGGGUGAAGAAGGCCUUCGGGUUGUAAAGCCCUUUUGUUGGGAAAGAAAAGCAGCCGGUUAAUACCCGGUUGUUCUGACGGUACCCAAAGAAUAAGCACCGGCUAACUUCGUGCCAGCAGCCGCGGUAAUACGAAGGGUGCAAGCGUUACUCGGAAUUACUGGGCGUAAAGCGUGCGUAGGUGGUUGUUUAAGUCUGUCGUGAAAGCCCUGGGCUCAACCUGGGAAUGGCGAUGGAAACUGGACGACUAGAGUGUGGCAGAGGGUAGUGGAAUUCCUGGUGUAGCAGUGAAAUGCGUAGAGAUCAGGAGGAACAUCCGUGGCGAAGGCGACUGCCUGGGCCAACACUGACACUGAGGCACGAAAGCGUUGGGGAGCAAACAGGAUUAGAUACACUAAGGU